UUAAAAGAAACCAAUAAAUGGUAUAUCAUUGUUAAUGAUAGUGAGGAUUACAUCCCUUUUAAU
rnacentral:tRNA from 1 species